rnacentral:rRNA from 1 species
CCUACGGGAGGCAGCAGUGAGGAAUAUUGGUCAAUGGGCGAGAGCCUGAACCAGCCAAGUCGCGUGAGGGAGUACUGCCCUAUGGGUUGUAAACCUCUUUUGUCGGGGAGCAAAAGCCGGACGUGUCCGGCUGUGAGAGUACCCGAAGGAAAAGCAUCGGCUGACGCCGUGCCAGCAGCCGCGGUAAUACGGGGGAUGCGAGGGUUGUCCGGGGUUAUUGGGGUUAAGGGGUGCGUCGGCGGGCUGUUAAGUCAGCGGUAAAAGCCCGGGGGUGAACCCCGGCGAGCCGUUGAAACUGGCGGGCUGGAGAGGGGGAGAGGUAGGCGGAAUGCGCGGUGUAGCGGUGAAAUGCUUAGA